CGCGGGGAAGUGUAACGGUUGCACGUCGGGCUCAUAAUCCGAAGGCAGGAGGUCCAAUUCCUCCCCCCGCAA
rnacentral:tRNA from 1 species